rnacentral:rRNA from 1 species
UACGGAGGGUGCAAGCGUUAUCCGGAUUCACUGGGUUUAAAGGGUGCGUAGGAGGGCAGGUAAGUCAGUGGUGAAAUCUUUGGGCUUAACCCGAAACUGCCAUUGAUACUAUCUGUCUUGAAUCCCGGUGGAGGUGAGCGGAAUAUGUCAUGUAGCGGUGAAAUGCUUAGAUAUGACAUAGAACACCAAUUGCGAAGGCAGCUCGCACACGAAGAUUGACUCUGAGGCACGAAAGCG